UUGGCGGUGGCCUCGGCUGGGAGCGGGGCCGAGGGGAGCCGGGUGCCGGGGUCCCCAUCUCGGCCCCACCACCGUGGCGUCAGGCAGAAGCGGCCGCCCCGGACACCCGAUGGCUUGAGGAAACGGGCCCGUCGCACACGGGGCCGGUCGUGAGGUGGCCGCGACUCCAGGGCCCAGCCCACCACAGGAGGUUGAACUUUUAAAGGAGAGGUUCGGGAAGGGGCAGGAAGCCGGGCUGGCACUCUGCAUGCGGAUUCCCCAGCGCUGCAACAGCCAAGGCAGCUGUCGGUGGAUUUAAGCGAGGCCAUCCGGGGACCCCCCUUCACGUUGUGCUUGCCCCGCCAGCAGCGGUAGAGCUCACCACAGGCAUGCCUGAACAUUCUGAGCAGCUCAUCAUUGAGGAGGCAGAUAACUAAACUGUAAGCUCAAAGUGAAGCCAUUUCACCGCUCAGGGAUGAACACCUCUUCUCCUUUUUCGACCUCCUGGCAUCCCUAGUUUAGGAUCAAGAAUAAACUAUGCAUUUGUGCCUUUAUCAGCAAGGCUCCCGUGGGGCAAUCCUCGUAAGCGCUGGUAGCAAGGAGGCUUAUAAAAAGCAGCUCCAGGUGGAAGCGGGUCUUUUCCUGCUCCUCCCUCCAUCCUGCUGCAAUUCCCUUUCAUCCAGGCCCAGAGAACUGCCUGCCUUUCAGACUGAGCUACACAUGUAAGAGAGUUGUGGCCACUUGAACCAGGUAUUAGACUAGCUAGCUUUAGUUAGUGUUGAUUCGCUGAUGUUCUGGGGAGUUUCCUUGCAUAUGGUGUAGCAUGCCAACUUAAUGGUGGUCAUUCAACAGCAAAUGUAAAUUAAAAAAACAAAGCCUACCUCUAAAGAAAACGAGCAGCUUUGAUGCAUCUUUAAACUUGGUUUCUAAGAAGUUGGUGUUGAUACAGCUGCCAUCGUGUUGAGGCUUUUUAGCUCCCUUGUCAGCAUUUCUUAUUUCCCUACAGAAUGCAAAGUGGAUGUGGUGUGUGGUGUAUUAUUUAUUACAUAAAAAACCUGGCAGCAUGUGCGGUGUUCUGUCUCAAAAGUCAUGUUGGAAACCUACUACACCACAGAUUAAACAGUGAAUAUUAGUGCUAACACUGCAUCUGUUGUCUUUAUCUUCUAGCAACUGUUUUACAACUUUUCUGUUAAGUUGCAGACAAACCCUGCCGCCUUAGAAGCUGUGAUACGAUCUGUGCUCUCAGUGCAAAAAAUACAGCAUGUUCUGGCUUGUGUUUUUUAAGAGAGAAAACAAUUGGUUCAUUGCACUUAAAAGUUGUGCCAUUCGGUGCAGCACUACUGAAGUGAGCAGCCUAGGAAGUGUGAUCCAUGGCGUUAGGGAUGCCGCGCACAUCCCCUCCCUCCUCUGCAACCAGGGGGUGAGGCCACCAGCUCUUCCUGCCUGAACUGAACUAAGUGAGUUCUGUUCCUCUGCCAAGAAUGUAGAAGUAAAUACAGUGAUCGUGUAAGUUACUUGUAAUACCCAAAGUAUAAACAAACUUGUGCAUAGGAAAGGUGAGUUUCUGGCAGGUAUUCCAGGGGAGUUCCCUCAGCACUGCAGAGCUGAGGCAUUCAUCUUUAAGGAUAGAACAAAUUUUAGAUACCUACACAAGACAGGAACAGAAAAGGUGCAGAGUGGAGGGAUACAAAAUGAGGGGUCAGCUGCUGCUGGUGGUGGUGGUGCUUUUAACACUGGCCGGUGGCUCUAGGUUUAUUUCUUCACGACUGGCACUCGGUGGUAUCGAACACCUCUACUUUCAAAUCAAUACAUGCUGACAACAAAUACUUGUCAGCAUGAAUGACAAGUACGCAGCGUUUCGUGGCAUCAGAUCUAACAUGUCCACUAUGAAACAUAUGCGCGAAGUGCGGUGUUCCUCAAUCCGGGAGUUGGUCCUUUCAGAGUACCUUGUGUUAAAUUCAGUUUUAAAUUUAGUAUUUGUAAGGUUCAGUCCCUAGUGCAGUGUUUUAAAUACUUGGGUGAUCAAACUCUACUUAACCAGGCACUUCUGUCUUUGCUUGCAGUGAAGUGCUGCGCAAAGGAUACACAUUUGGCUGGAUUGUGAGAAACUGUAAAGACCACACAACUAAGUUUAAGUACUUAUAUGCUUGCUGAAUGUGUCUCACACUUUCUGAAUGUCCCAGGCCCCCCAGUAACUAAUGAAGGCUGCAGUGGGAGCGCGUUCUCCUUUUCCUCCAUAUUAUGCUGUUUCCAUAACAGAGUAUUGAUUCAUAUUCAGAGUUGUGGCCCAUCUCUUAAAGUGUUCUGUGCCAGUGAAAUCAAGACCACAGUUGACAACUUUGCUGCUCUGUCGCAGCAGAACUCUUCCGUGAGCUUUAAGCCUAACUAUGUAUGAGGCUGUUUUCUCAGGGGCGGGUCUGAAAUAGUGGAAAGAGCAAUUUAUUUUACUCUCUCUAUAAGCAUACAGCAAUUUCAUGU